rnacentral:rRNA from 1 species
UGAGGAAUAUUGGUCAAUGGGCGCAAGCCUGAACCAGCCAUGCCGCGUGCAGGAUGACGGUCCUAUGGAUUGUAAACUGCUUUUGCACAGGAAGAAACACUCCGACGUGUCGGAGCUUGACGGUACUGUGAGAAUAAGGAUCGGCUAACUCCGUG